GACGUAGGGCGCGAGCGUUGUCCGGAUUUAUUGGGCGUAAAGAGCUCGUAGGCGGCUUGUCGCGUCGUCCGUGAAAACCUGCAGCUCAACUGCAGGCUUGCGGUCGAUACGGGCAGGCUAGAGUUCGGUAGGGGAGACUGGAAUUCCUGGUGUAGCGGUGAAAUGCGCAGAUAUCAGGAGGAACACCGGUGGCGAAGGCGGGUCUCUGGGACGGUACUGACGCUGAGACGCGAAAGCGUGGGGAGUGAACAGG
rnacentral:rRNA from 1 species